rnacentral:rRNA from 1 species
GAUGAACGCUGGCGGCGUGCCUAAUACAUGCAAGUCGAACGAGGUGCCUUUGUAGCAAUACGAGGGUAUCCUAGUGGCGAACGGGUGAGUAACGCGUUGGUGACCUGUCCCAAAGUGUGGGAUAACAGUCCGAAAGGACUGCUAAUACCGCAUGUGGUCAUCGGGUCUAGAAACCGAUGUCUAAAGCAGCAAUGCGCUUUGGGAGGGGCCUGCGUCCCAUCAGCUAGUU